GGACAAAGUGAGGAAUAGCAGAAGAAAAGUAACAUCGAGGGAAAAUAUGUAGUAAAAUAUAUGAUUAAAAACAAAACAAAGUGAUCACUCAACCCAUUUCUCCAUCAAGAUUUCAGAACUGCAGCAGAUUAGAGCAUUCGCCUAAGAAAUAAAUUUUAAAAGAAGUGCUUUCGCAGAAUCCCAAGGAAACCUUGAUACGUUUUGCCAGCCUAUGAAUUAUAAUGUAUUGUCAUCAUGAAUAACAACGAGAUUGAAAGAAUCUACAGCAACCUCUACAGGACCUAACAAGAAAUAACUAAAUAUAUCCCAAUAUACACCCCCCCCCAUAUACCCUUUGCUCUAAAAAACUCUAAAAAACUAAAAACAAAAACCCCAUCAGAAACUGCAUUUUGCUGCGUUCAGAGCUAACACCACUUUCGGAUAGAAACUAUGGCUUUUAUGACCCUGUACCUCCUUCUCGAAGGCAGAAGCUGAAAGAGAUCGUUUCCAGGGUGCGUGGGAUCCUGCACUAUCUCUACCGCUUUGUUAAAACUCCU